AGUGUUGUAGCUCAGAGGUAGAGCACUUGUUUCACAAGUAUUAGGCACUGGGUUUGAUCCUCAGCACUA
rnacentral:tRNA from 1 species